UACAAUACAAACGCAAUACACGUACCAACAAUAAUAUGGUUCUGCUUUCAUAUAGCGGUCUUCUUUGUAUAUGCGUUAUUUUGAUGGCGGAAACGGUCGCAUGGUAUCCAAAUAUGAGACGGUUUAGUGUAAAUCCAUCGGCAAUGUCAGUUGAAUUAAAGACUGAACCAUCUAACUCUAUUUUGUUUGACAAUUCUUAUAUGAUGCCUUCAAACCGCCAAACUUCAAAACAUGGACAGUACUUCAUCAUUGGUGAGCAACGACUUCUUGGUGCGUUGCGAAAUAAAGAAGAUAUCAAGCGGAUUGCUGGAGUAAAUGCACAGCAAAAGCCAAUGUAAACAAAUGAAGAUAGCAUUUGAAGAUGGAGAUUGAUACGCAAACAAAAUGCCAGCGUCUUAUUUGGCAGGAUAUUUUCAUUGAUGUUAAAUAUUUCGUGUUGUGUGUGACAUACAACUGUAUAGACCAAUAAAUUAUAUCUAUGUUU